ACUUCUGGUUAGCUCAGUUGGUAGAGCGCUCGACUGGAAAUGGAGAAGUCCCUGGUUCGAUAUCAGGAAAAAGCA
rnacentral:tRNA from 1 species